CAGUCAAACUCAGUAGCCUCACUGUGAAUAGCCAAUGACACCAUAAGUCAAAGAACCACUCACACUACUGCAGCAUCGAGAAGAUCACUGAUGAGUGAGUAGAUAUCCAUGUGGUUCUCAUGUUGGUCACGCUCAGUAAAAGUUGUUCUCUAACAACUACUUGCACCUUCAUCCCAGUAUUUCUAUACUAUAAAUCUGAGACUCAUCUACCCACAAGGAAGCUGAACUAUGUACCGAUCUCAAAUAGAUUGAUCACUGUCCUUCAUGACGAUCC
rnacentral:lncRNA from 1 species